CAUAUCUGCAGUGCAAGGUGGAUUCUUAACCACUGGACCACCAAGGAAGUCCUCUCCUCCCCAAUUUUAAUAACCAGAAACUACAUCUCCCAGCUUCCCUUGCAGCUCAAGUGUGGCCACGUGACCAUGUUCUCAUCAAGAAAAGAAGCUGGAAUGUGCCCAUGGAUAGCCACGGUCAACUCCCAUCACAUGGCCAUAGAACAAGAUGGAAGGAACCUGGUGGACCCCACCCAGCCUGGGCUGCCUGCCUUCCUCUGGGCUGUCAUGAGACAGAAGAAGCAGCUUCUGUCUUGUUGGGGCCAAUGUGUCUUAGGACCUAUGGGUGACAGCAGCUUUACCUACGUACUGUAACUCGUGUGUUUGCCCCUUGCUGCCUUUGGAGAUGGUGAUGCUACCAGCCUGAAAGCAGAUGUUGCCACUCAACCAUCUGAUUAGUUACUUUUAAAAACAGCUUUCUGGGAGUAUAAUCAGCAUACAACAAACUGGAUAUAGUUAAGAUGCAUGACUUGACAUAGAUUUAUACCUAUGAAACCAUUGCCACAAUCAUGAUAAUGAACCAUCACCUUGAAAAGUGUUGAUCACUGGUUUUCAUUGUCCAAGAGCCCCAACUCCUUGAUGGGGAGAGAAGAGAAGUGAGUUCUUUUGAGAUCAGUUAGAGGCAAGAGACGGAGAGGGCAAUGGCACCCCACUCUAGUACUCCUGCCUGGAAAAUCCCAUGGACAGAGGAGCCUGGAAGGCUUCAGUCCAUGGGGUCGCUGAGGGUCGGACACAACUGAGCGACUUCACUUUCACUUUUCACUUUCAUGCAUUGGAGAAGGACAUGGCAACCCACUCAAGUAUUCUUGCCUGGAGAAUCCCAGGGACAGGGGAGCCUGGUGGGCUGCUGUCUAUGGGGUCACACAGAGUCGGACACGACUUAGCAGUGACUUAAGUGACUUAGCAGCAGCAGCAGAGGCAAGAGAGACCCUGAGCUGGGAAUUGGACACAGAGAGCGGGGCCUUAUACUUGGAAGCUGAGAGUCUGAGGGCCUGGGAAUCAGAUUUCUUAAAGAAGGCUCUCAGGUGAUUCUAAUAC
ensembl:lncRNA